UGGGAUAGAUUUCCCUCUAGGUCCAGAGUAGUUGGUGGUCUCAUUUGGGAUAGAUUUCCCUCUAGGUCCAGAGUAGUUGGUGGUCUCAUUUGGGAUAGAUUUCCCUCUAGGUCCAGAGUAGUUGGUGGUCUCAUUUGAGAUGGAUUUCCCUCUAGGUCCAGAGUAGUUGGUGGUCUCAUUUGAGAUGGAUUUCCCUCUAGGUCCAGAGUAGUUGGUGGUCUCAUUUGAGAUGGAUUUCCCUCUAGGUUCAGAGUAGUUGGUGGUCUCAUUUGGGAUAGAUUUCCCUCUUGUAAAAGUUGUGACUGUCUGCAGGGAAGUCAGGCGCAGGAGAGCAGAACUGGGUAAUAACCGGAGCAGUUUAAUAAGGCAAAACAAACUGCACCCAGAACAACAACAUACAGGUUGAAAUAACCUGUGGAAAACCAG
ensembl:lncRNA